ACGGGUGAGUAACACGUGGGAACGUGCCCUUCGGUUCGGAAUAACUCAGGGAAACUUGAGCUAAUACCGGAUACGCCCUUAUGGGGAAAGGUUUACUGCCGAAGGAUCGGCCCGCGUCUGAUUAGCUUGUUGGUGGGGUAACGGCCUACCAAGGCGACGAUCAGUAGCUGGUCUGAGAGGAUGAUCAGCCACACUGGGACUGAGACACGGCCCAGACUCCUACGGGAGGCAGCAGUGGGGAAUAUUGGACAAUGGGCGCAAGCCUGAUCCAGCCAUGCCGCGUGAGUGAUGAAGGCCUUAGGGUUGUAAAGCUCUUUUGUCCGGGACGAUAAUGACGGUACCGGAAGAAUAAGCCCCGGCUAACUUCGUGCCAGCAGCCGCGGUAAUACGAAGGGGGCUAGCGUUGCUCGGAAUCACUGGGCGUAAAGGGCGCGUAGGCGGCCGAUUAAGUCGGGGGUGAAAGCCUGUGGCUCAACCACAGAAUUGCCUUCGAUACUGGUUGGCUUGAGACCGGAAGAGGACAGCGGAACUGCGAGUGUAGAGGU
rnacentral:rRNA from 1 species